UUAUAGUGGGGGAUAGCCUUUCGAAAGGAAGAUUAAUACCGCAUAAGAUUGUAGUAUCGCAUGAUAUAGCAAUUAAAAGGAGCAAUCCGCUAUAAGAUGGACCCGCGUCGCAUUAGCUAGUUGGUGAGGUAAUGGCUCACCAAGGCGACGAUGCGUAGCCGACCUGAGAGGGUGAUCGGCCACAUUGGGACUGAGACACGGCCCAGACUCCUACGGGAGGCAGCAUG
rnacentral:rRNA from 1 species